UCCCUGGUGGCUCAGAUGGUAAAGAAUCUGCCUGCAAUGUAGGAGACCUGGGUUUGAUCCCUGGCUUGGGAA
rnacentral:tRNA from 1 species